rnacentral:rRNA from 1 species
UACGUAGGUGGCAAGCGUUGUCCGGAUUUACUGGGCAUAAGGGGCGUGCAGGCGGUCUGUUAAGUCUAGGGUGAAAGCUCCCGGCUCAACUGGGAGAGGUCCUUGGAUACUGGCGGACUUGAGGGAGGCAGAGGAAAGUGGAAUUCCCGGUGUAGUGGUGAUAUGCGUAGAUAUCGGGAGGAACACCAGUGGCGAAGGCGGCUUUCUGGGCCUUACCUGACGCUGAGACGCGAAAGCGUGGGGAGCGAACCGG